rnacentral:rRNA from 1 species
CAAUAGCGUAUAUUAAAGUUGUUGCAGUUAGAACGCUCGUAGUCGGAUUUCGGGGCGGGUCGACCGGUCUGCCGAUGGGUACGCACUGGCCGACGCGUCCUUCCUUCCGGAGACCGUCCCUACUCUUAACUGAGCGGGGGCGGGAGACGGAACGUUUACUUUGAAAAAAUCAGAGUGUUUCAAGCAGGCAUCUCGCUCUUGCAUGGAUUAGCAUGGGAUAAUGAAAUAGGACUUUGGUGCUAUUUUGUUGGUUUCGAACACCGAAGUAAUGAUGAGAAGGGACAGUCAGGGGCACUCGUAUUCCGCCGAGAGAGGUGAAAUUCUCAGACCAGCGGAAGACGAACCACUGCGAANGNAUUUGCNAGGGAUGUUUNCACUG